rnacentral:rRNA from 1 species
AUCAUUAAUGUGACCUCAAAUCAGGUAGGACUACCCGNUGAACUUAAGCAUAUCAAUAAGCGGAGGAAAAGAAACUAACAAGGAUUCCCCUAGUAACUGCGAGUGAAGCGGGAAAAGCUCAAAUUUAAAAUAUCUGGCGGUGCUUUUGGCUGNCCGAGUUGUAAUUCUAGAGAAGUGCUAUUCCUGCGG